rnacentral:rRNA from 1 species
UACAAUCUUUAUUAACCCAUGUUAAAAAGAUAAAAGCUCCGGCGGUGUAAAAUGAGCGUGCGUCCUAUCAGCUAGUUGGUGAGGCAAUGGCUCACCAAGGCUACGAUGGRUAGGGGUUCUUAGUGGAAGAUCCCCCACACUGGCACUGAGAUACGGGCCAGACUCCUACGGGAGGCAGCAGUWGGGAAUAUUGGUCAAUGGGCGCAAGCCUGAACCAGCCAUGCCGCGUGCAGGAUGAAAGCUCUCUGAGUUGUAAACUGCUUUUGUACAGGAGCAAAACAAUCCCUGCGGGGAUUCUUGAGAGUACUGUAAGAAUAAGCACCGGCUAAUUCCGUGCCAGCAGCCGCGGUAAUACGGAAGGUGCAAGCGUUAUCCGGUUUUAUUGGGUUUAAAGGGUGCGUAGGCGGCUUAUUAAGUCAAUUGUGAAAUCCUAGUGCUUAACGCUAGAACUGCAAUUGAUACUAUUAGGCUUGAGUUAAGAAUAGGUAAGUAGAAUUUAUGGUGUAGUAGUGAAAUGCUUAGAUAUCAUAAGGAAUACCAAUAGCGUAGGCAGCUUACUGGUCUUUAACUGACGCUGAGGCACGAAAGCGUGGGGAGCAAACAGGGUUAGAUACCCUGGUAGUCCACGCCGUAAACGAUGAUCACUCGAUAUACAUAAACUUUAUGUGUGUCUAAGCGAAAGCGUUAAGUGAUCCACCUGGGGAGUAUACUCGCAAGGGUGAAACUCAAAGGAAUUGACGGGGGUCCGCACAAGCGGUGGAGUAUGUGGUUUAAUUCGAUAAUACGCGAGGAACCUUACCUGGGCUAGAAUGUAUUUUGCUACUUUGAA